AUCACACACCACACAUACUCACCACACAGACGCCACACACAUGCCACACACAUUACAACACACCACACACACACACCACACACAAUACACACCACACAUACACACCACACACACACACACCACACACAAUACACACCACACAUACACACCACACACAAUACACACCACACAUACACACCACACACAAUACACACCAGACAUACACACCACACACACCACACACAAUACACACCACACAUACACACCACACACACACACCACACAUACACACCACACACACACACCACACACACACCACACAUACACACCACACACACACACCACACACACACACACCACACAUACACACCACACACACACACACCACACACAAUACACACCACACAUACACACCACACACAAUACACACCAGACAUACACACCACACACACCACACACAAUACACACCACACAUACACACCCACACACACACCACACACACACACCACACAUACACACCACACACACCACACACCACACACCACACACAAUACACACCACACAUACACACCACACACAAUACACACCAGACAUACACACCACACACACCACACACAAUACACACCACACAUACACACCACACACACACACACCACACACAAUACACACCACACAUACACACCACACACACCACACACAAUACACACCACACACACCACACACAAUACACACCACACAUACACACCACACACACACACACCACACACAAUACACACCACACAUACACACCACACACACCACACACAAUACACACCACACACACACCACACACAAUACACACCACACACACACACCACACACAAUACACACCACACAUACACACCACACACACACACCACACACAAUACACACCACACACACACCACACACAAUACACACCACACAUACACACCACACACACACCACACACAAUACACACCACACAUACACACCACACACACACACCACACACAAUACACACCAGACAUACACACCACACACACCACACACAAUACACACCACACAUACACACCACACACACACACACCACACACACACCACACAUACACACCACACACACACCACACACACACACACCACACACAAUACACACCACACAUACACACCACACACACACCACACACAAUACACACCACACAUACACACCACACACACACCACACACACACACCACACAUACACACCACACACACACCACACACACACACGACACAUAAUACACACCACACAUACACACCACACACACACCACACACAAUACACACCACACAUACACACCACACACACACCACACACAAUACACACCACACAUACACACCACACACACACACCACACACAAUACACACCACACAUACACACCACACACACACCACACACAAUACACACCACACAUACAUACCACACACACACACCACACAAUACACACCACACAUACACACCACACACACACCACACACAAUACACACCACACAUACACACCACACACACACACACCACACACAUACACACCACACAUACACACCACACACACACCACACACAAUACACACCACACAUACACACCACACACACCACACACCACACACAUACCAUGCACCACACACACACACUUCACACACACCUCAUACCAUGCACGCACAAGCCACACACAUAACCACACACUGCACACACUACACACAUACCAUGCACACCACACACAUCAUACACAUACCACACACAUGUCACACAUACCAUAUACACACCACACAUACAUGCACCACAUAUUCUACACACCAUGCACACACUACACACACUACACACACACACCACACACACCACACACAAUACACACCACACACACACCACACACAAUACACACCACACACAUACCAUGCACCACACACACACACUUCACACACACCUCAUACCAUGCACGCACAAGCCACACACAAAACCACACACUGCACACACUACACACAUACCAUGCACACCACACACACAUCAUACACAUUCCACACACAUGUCACACAUGCCAUAUACACACCACACAUACAUGCACCACACAUUCUACACACCAUGCACACACCACUACACACACACCACACACUACACAUGUACCACAUACCACACACACCACAAACACAUCAUACACACAGCACACACAGCCCACACACUCCACAUGUCACACACAUGAACACACCACACACAUCCCAUGCAGAAGUAUGUGUUCUGUCCGCACAGCUUCUGGGUGGGGAGGUGGCCCUGUUGUGUUUCGUGGAAUGUUUGUGGAUCACUAUUCACAAAUCCAUAGAGGGGAGCUGGCCAUUCCCCCUGGCAAAAGCAGUCCUGUUAUCUUUGGCGUGGAUGCCAAGGCCAUUCCAUGGGGAGAGGACAGCCUCCUGCACAGACGGGGCUGGGAGACCAGGACACCCACAUGCAGAGUGUGA
ensembl:lncRNA